rnacentral:rRNA from 1 species
AAGACCUUGCGCUUUUGGAGCGGCCGAUGUCUGAUUAGCUUGUUGGUAAGGUAAAAGCUUACCAAGGCUUCGAUCAGUAGCUGGUCUGAGAGGACGACCAGCCACACUGGGACUGAGACACGGCCCAGACUCCUACGGGAGGCAGCAGUGGGGAAUUUUGGACAAUGGGGGCAACCCUGAUCCAGCCAUGCCGCGUGAGUGAAGAAGGCCUUCGGGUUGUAAAGCUCUUUCAGCCGGAACGAAACGGUUACGGAUAAUACCCGUGACUACUGACGGUACCGGAAGAAGAAGCACCGGCUAACUACGUGCCAGCAGCCGCGGUAAUACGUAGGGUGCAAGCGUUAAUCGGAAUUACUGGGCGUAAAGCGUGCGCAGGUGGUUUUGUAAGUCAGAUGUGAAAGCCCCGGGCUCAACCUGGGAACU